UGAUUUCUUCGGAAUGAAAUCUGAUAUGACUGAGUGGCGGACGGGUGAGUAACGCGUGAGCAACCUGCCCUUCGGAACGGGAUAGUGUCUGGAAACGGACAGUAAUACCGUAUAACGUAUUUUUACCGCAUGAUAGAAAUACCAAAACUGAGGUGCCGAAGGAUGGGCUCGCGUCUGAUUAGAUAGUUGGUGGGGUAACGGCCUACCAAGUCGACGAUCAGUAGCCGGACUGAGAGGUUGAACGGCCACAUUGGGACUGAGACACGGCCCAGACUCC
rnacentral:rRNA from 1 species